rnacentral:rRNA from 1 species
GAUGAACGCUGGCGGCGUGCCUAAUACAUGCAAGUCGAGCGAACGGACGAGAAGCUUGCUUCUCUGAUGUUAGCGGCGGACGGGUGAGUAACACGUGGAUAACCUACCUAUAAGACUGGGAUAACUUCGGGAAACCGGAGCUAAUACCGGAUAAUAUUUUGAACCGCAUGGUUCAAAAGUGAAAGACGGUCUUGCUGUCACUUAUAGAUGGAUCCGCGCUGCAUUAGCUAGUUGGUAAGGUAACGGCUUACCAAGGCAACGAUGCAUAGCCGACCUGAGAGAGUGAUCGGCCACACUAGAACUGAGACACGGUCCAGACUCCUACGGGAGGCAGCAGUAGGGAAUCUUCCGCAAUGGGCGAAAGCCUGACGGAACAACGCCGCGUGAGUGAUGAAGGUCUUCGGAGCGUAAAACUCUGUUAUUAGGGAAGAACAUAUGUGUAAGUAACUGUGCACAUCUUGACGGUACCUAAUCAGAAAGCCACGGCUAACUACGUG